rnacentral:rRNA from 1 species
AUGCACCUCACCCAUGAAUUUGGGCGCCCAAGAGAGGAGUGUGGAGGAGAACGUGGGGAAGGAGUCAUAAACGACGAUUGUUGCCGACCUCGAGUGGAAGAACAUGGGCAUGAACAUGCUCAGACAGGUGGUGGGGCGGAGCUCGGACAUCGAAGGGUGGGAAGUAGCUCACUGCAGGGGGCGGCGACGGAGUUGGGACAUCAAACAAUGGGGAGGACCUCGCAGCACGGGCGUCAGAACCCUCAGCUUGGGCAGAGAUGCACAAACGAACAACAAGAGGGGCGGCCAUCGGAGCUUUGGCUCAAGAACACCUUCCUCCAUCGUGAUGAUAGUGGACCAGUCGUCCUUGCACAACCCUAG